GUUGUGCUCCCACACCACCCUUCCCCCAUUUCCUUGACCAGAAUUAGUUACAGGCCCUACUGGGAUAUAAGAGGUCUAGAAAGUACAGCCUCCUAUAUGCCCAAGAAGAAAAUGAAAUGGUGUGGGGAAGAAACGGCAACAUAUUUGCCAUCAAAUAAUUUUUCUAUAUUUUCCAUUCUUCUUGCCUUUCUUUAAAAUAUUUCUCACUUUCCUUUUCCCUUCCCCAGCCAGGUGGUUCAUCAUUUCAUACUGUUUCAGUAUGACCUUUCUUUAAAUAUUUCUUCAAAUAUUUCUUUUUUAUCUUGAAGCUUUUCUUGACUCAUCUAACCAAAAAUAAUAUCUUUCCUUUGAAGCAUCAAAGAACUUCUCUCAUCAUUUACUUUACCUAACAUGGUGAAUACUUGUGAACUUUUCUUCUUCCCAUCGCUAGGUUAUAAGAUCCUUGAGGGUUGUGUUAGUGUUAGUCGCUCAGUUGUGUCCAACUCUUUGCGACCCCAUGGACUGCAGGCCACCAGGCUCCUCUGUCCAUGGAAUUCUCUAGGCAAGAAUACUGGAAUGGGUGACCAUAUCCUUCUCCAAGGGAUCUUCCCAACCCAGGGAUUGAACCCUGGUCUCCUGCAUUGCAGGCAGAUUCUUUAACAUCUGAAUCAUCACGGAAGCCCUGAGGGUUGGUACUACACCGAUUUUGAAUUACAGUUUUCUUGAAAUGAAACUCAUAUGUGAUGAAAUUGACCCAUUUAAAGAGUACAAUUCAACAUAAAAUGGUACAGCUGCUAUGAAAAACAGUAUGGCAGUUCCUUCAAAAAUUAAAAAUAAAAUUAUCAUACAAUCCAACAAUUCCACUUCUGGGCAUAUCCAAAAGAACUGAAAGCAAGAACUCAAACAGAUAUUUGUCCACUCAUGUACAUAGCAGAAUUAUUCCCAAUAGUGGCAUAAUGGCAACCCAAAUGUCCAUUGACAGAUGAAUGGACAAACAAAAUGUGCUACAUAUAUAUAUAUAUAUAUAUAUAUAUAUAUAUAUAUAUAUAUUCAAAGGGAUAAUAUUCAGCCUUAAAAGGUGGGGAAUUCUGACACAUACUACAUGAAUAAACCUGAGGCUCCUCUGCUAAGUGAAAUGAGCUAGUCACAAAAGGACAAAUACUAUUUGAUUCCACUUAUAUGAGGUAUCUAGAGUACUCACAAUUAUAGAGUAUAGAAUGAUGAUUGCCAGGGAGAGAAAUGGGGAGUUCUGGUUUAAUGAGCACAGUUUCAGUUACAGGAUGGGAAAAGUUCUAGAGAUAGAUGGUGCG
ensembl:lncRNA